GAUCCUGGCUCAGGACGAACGCUGGCGGCGCGCCUAACACAUGCAAGUCGAACGGGAUCAAGAGGAGCUUGCUUUUCUUGAUUUAGUGGCGAACGGGUGAGUAACGCGUGAGUAACCUGCCCUGGAGUGGGGGACAACAGUUGGAAACGACUGCUAAUACCGCAUAAGCCCACGGUGCCGCAUGGCACUGCGGGAAAAGGNUUUAUUCGCUCUAGGAUGGACUCGCGUCCAAUUAGCUAGUUGGUG
rnacentral:rRNA from 1 species